rnacentral:rRNA from 1 species
ACGUAGGGUGCGAGCGUUGUCCGGAAUUAUUGGGCGUAAAGAGCUUGUAGGUGGUUUGUCGCGUCUGCUGUGAAAAUCCGAGGCUCAACCUCGGACUUGCAGUGGGUACGGGCAGACUAGAGUGUGGUAGGGGAGACUGGAAUUCCUGGUGUAGCGGUGGAAUGCGCAGAUAUCAGGAGGAACACCGAUGGCGAAGGCAGGUCUCUGGGCCAUUACUGACACUGAGAAGCGAAAGCAUGGGGAGCGAACAGGAUUAGAUACCCUGGUAGUCCAUGCCGUAAACGUUGGGAACUAGGUGUGGGUCGCAUUCCACGUGAUCCGUGCCGCAGCUAACGCAUUAAGUUCCCCGCCUGGGGAGUACGGCCGCAAGGCUA